AUGCACGGUUACUGAGAGCAGCGGCUUCGCAGUUGGUAGUUGUGGAUUCUCCAACAACAUGCAAGAGAAAAUUGGGGAGACUUUGACAGCAUUGGUCCUGUAUUUCCUCUGAUUGUCACUUGACUCUCCUACAUCU